rnacentral:rRNA from 1 species
GUAUCCUGGCUCAGGAUGAACGCUAGCGGCAGGCUUAACACAUGCAAGUCGAGGGGCAGCAUAAUGGAUAGCAAUAUCUAUGGUGGCGACCGGCGCACGGGUGCGUAACGCGUAUGCAACCUACCUUUAACAGGGGGAUAACACUGAGAAAUUGGUACUAAUACCCCAUAAUAUCAUGAAGGCAUCUUUANGGUUGAAAAUCGAUGGUUAGAGAUGGGCAUGCGUUGUAUUAG